rnacentral:tRNA from 1 species
CCCUUGCUGGUCUGAUGGCUAGGAUUCCUGGCUACCCAUCUCAUCCAGGCCACCCAGGUUCAAUUCCCGGGCAGGGAA